rnacentral:rRNA from 1 species
UACGUAGGUGGCAAGCGUUGUCCGGAUUUAUUGGGCGUAAAGGGAGCGCAGGCGGUGACUUAAGUCUGAUGUGAAAGCCCACGGCUCAACCGUGGAAGGUCAUUGGAAACUGGGUCACUUGAAUAUAGAAGAGGAAAGUGGAAUUCCAUGUGUAGCGGUGAAAUGCGUAGAUAUAUGGAGGAACACCAGUGGCGAAGGCGACUUUCUGGUCUAUUAUUGACGCUGAGGCUCGAAAGCAUGGGUAGCAAACAGGAUUAGAUACCCCGGUA